GUGAACGCUGGCGGUAGGCCUAACACAUGCAAGUCGAACGGCAGCACAGUAAGAGCUUGCUCUUACGGGUGGCGAGUGGCGGACGGGUGAGGAAUACAUCGGAAUCUACUUUUUCGUGGGGGAUAACGUAGGGAAACUUACGCUAAUACCGCAUACGACCUACGGGUGAAAGCAGGGGAUCUUCGGACCUUGCGCGAUUGAAUGAGCCGAUGUCGGAUUAGCUAGUUGGCGGGGUAAAGGCCCACCAAGGCGACGAUCCGUAGCUGGUCUGAGAGGAUGAUCAGCCACACUGGAACUGAGACACGGUCCAGACUCCUACGGGGGGCAGCAGUGGGGAAUAUUGGACAAUGGGCGCAAGCCUGAUCCAGCCAUACCGCGUGGGUGAAGAAGGCCUUCGGGUUGUAAAGCCCUUUUGUUGGGAAAGAAAAGCAGCAGGUUAAUACCCCGCUGUCCUGACGGUACCCAAAGAAUAAGCACCGGCUAACUUCGUG
rnacentral:rRNA from 1 species